AUGGCAGUAUAAAAAAGGCAAGGUUUAUGACAAGGCCCAGUAAUGUAUGUUUGUGUCGACACAUCACGUUCUAAGACGGCCCUAGUCCUUCACCCAUGAACAUUGCUAGAUCAGUUUCAUAAAACAGGGUAAUUAAGUUACUUAUUAUGACUGCAGAAAAGGACAUACUAGCCAUACAGUGUUAUCAUUACGGAAAUAUUCAAUCAAGUUCCGGGAUCUAUAAAAAUAAAUAAAUGGACAAUUACAAUGACAUUUCCCCCCAAAAUAAGGUGUUUAUCUAAUACUGUAUCAGUUUGUUCACCAUUAAAGCGUAGAAGUGUUCCUAUUUGUUAAAUUUUGUUUAAAUAUAUUUAGUUGUUAAGUAUAAUUUCCUCAUAUUUGAGUGAUAGCCCAAUCGUUAAGUAAAAUUUAAUAUAUCUAUAAGAACUAUGGGGCCGCGACAUCUCCUAAUGCCAGGGCCGAUUUUUUCAACCAAUCCGCUACUGUACCCAUUGUAGAGACUGCAAGGUUUUUUUUUUUUUUCCUUGACUUGUCUCAUUGCUAAAAGAAGUUGUUCUAAGCCAUUUCAUGAAAGUAAAAAGAAUCAUGUAACGUUACCACAACAUAAAAAUAAAGCUUAUUUUCAUCUAGUAUUUAUGCUGUGCAUAUAUUGUGUCGUUAGCACUAUAGCUAAACAAACUAGUCAAAUCUUAUUCAGAAAUAAAACACUCCUGAUUGUAGUGUCUAGUUCUUACUAUAUCACAUGUGGUACAUCCCCCCUAAGCCCACCCUCAAAUAGAAAAAAAAAACAUUACUCUUUUUUACUUUGUACUAAUCAAAACAAUUAUUCAAGUUCAUUGUACAAAAUAUUAAGCUUUCAUUCUUUGCUUGGGUCUGAAGGAGAUAAUUUAAACUAUGUGCUACCAUGAAACAAUUUAAGAAUAAAUUCUGUCAGUGUAAGUGUAUGCCAGAUUUAUUUCCUUACUAACAUAUUUAUAUCUAUAAUUGUAUUUAAAUUAAAUAUUAACUCUUUACUUUAAUUGUAGAAAAAUAAAACUGGUUCUUGUAAUUUCCUGUGACAGUCAGAUAUCUCUACUAGAGGAAUCUACUGCUGUGAAUACUUGUAAAGAGGUCUCACACUCAAGAAAGGUUUUAUAGUUCUGCGAGAGAUUUUGAAUCUUUUGGCCAAGCUUACAAAGACGGCAAAAAGCUGAAAAGAGAAGCGAAGUUGCUACAGGAAAAGGUGGAGAUGAAUGUGAUGUCCAAGAAAGCUCCCAAGUUGCAGCUGCAAUUGGCGAUAUUAAUGCUGCAGAACAUGAAUUUGUUUUGUGUCUGUCAAGCAUUAAUGGUUUGAUGCAGUUAAAAGUGAUGCAUUCUUAGUGUAAAAAUUAAGUACUAACAAGCAGAGACUAAUUCCAUUAGCCAUCAAGUCAGUAAAGUGCUAGCUGGUGCUGCUGAUUGGAACUUGCAUCCUUCUAGAAAAAUCGAGAAAGGAUACUAGACUUGCAAAUCCGAAUAAGAAGAA